GCCCGCCUAGCUCAAUCGGAUAGAGCGUCAGACUCUUAGGCAAUAGGCGGGUAUCUGAAGGCUGGGGGUUCGACCCCCCCGGUGGGCU
rnacentral:tRNA from 2 species